rnacentral:tRNA from 1 species
GAGAGAGGCUCGCAGCAACGAAGACUGCUAAUCUUCACUUCCUCGGUUGGACCCCAAGGCUCACUCA